UCGAAUAUCACUGACAGGGUUGUCGCUGGCCCCUUCAAAGGUGUCGUGCACGCCCAAGCACACUCCCAUACAUCCAUCUCACACCUUUGUGCAUCACCGCGUGGGGUCACCCUUUGUUGGGAGGGCUCACGUUUUUCACAUAAAACUUUGAUAUAAUGUAGAAUGUCUUUAUUUGCGGUCACACGCAAUCAAUA
rnacentral:misc_RNA from 1 species